CCACCUUUCCAGUUCGCUCUAAUUAUCUAUACCAUUAAGUUUUGUUUUUCGUCAAUAACGCAAUUAUUCCAACAAUCAUAUUAAAAUUGUGAAAAUAUGAGUGACAAAAUGGAUUGGAACGAAGAUACCCCAGAUGCGGAUGCUACGCGGAAACCAGUAUCAGGGGCCAGUAAACCAGAAAAAAAAUCCGUCUUUGCUAAUUCUGGAAAAGUAAUCAAUGUGAAUGAAAUAGGAGGGCCUGCAGAGUUGGAAUCCACUUCAAGUGGAAAAUUUAAUAAUAGACCAAUACCUGAUAGAAUGCCAGAUGAUGUAAAUAAUCUUUAUAUGAAUCAAGGAGACGUUCUGCAAGCAAACAAGAUUGGUUCGCUUAAGCUUACAACAACUCAUACUACUAAUAAACC